GCGCUAUGAUGUCUUAUAUUAUAGGUUCAGACGUACGAGUUCCCAAUCAUAGUUAGCAGUUCAGGAUAUCAGCUACAGAUUUAGAAGUGAGUCCUCAUCCAUCGAGGAUAUUAUCUUAUUUCAGUAUUUUAGUUAGUUUAGUAGUUACUUCAUUCGGAGUUAGUUGGGGGUUUGUCCCAUCAACUCCCCAUUUAUUCAGUUAGAGGCUUUUAUACUAGUACACACAGUUAGUCAGUUUUCAGUUGUUAUUAUCAGUAUUGAUUUGCAG
rnacentral:lncRNA from 1 species